rnacentral:rRNA from 1 species
AUGUUGAAGACGAAAGAGGAGAUGCUUUUCGGGGCAUCCCCAAGCUUAGUUGCUUGGAUAUUACUUGAAUAUUAUCUUGGGGGUGCCUUGGGCAUCCCCAAUCUUAGGGUCUUUUCACUCCUUAUUCUCCUCAUAUUCAUAUCUCACCCAAAACUUGAAAACUUCAAUCACACAAAACUUAACAAAACCUUCGUGAGAUCCGUUAGUAAAAUAAAGCAAAUUACUACUCCAAGUACUGUUGCAAAACCAUUCAUAUUUAAUAUUGCAUUAUAUCUAUUGUAUUCCAACUUUUCCAUGGCUUAUACCCUUCAAUACAAUCCAUAG